AUGGUUCGAGAGGAGGUAGCAGGAUCCACUCAAACACUACAGUGGCAGUGUGUUGAAUCAAGAGUAGAUAGUAAGCGCCUUUAUUAUGGUCGUUUCAUUCUGUCCCCGCUUAGAAAAGGUCAAGCGGACACCGUCGGUAUUGCCUUGCGAAGAGCUUUACUUGGAGAAAUAGAAGGAACAUGUAUCACACGUGCAAAAUUUGGGAGCGUGCCGCACGAGUAUUCUACAAUAGCAGGUAUUGAAGAAUCCGUACAAGAAAUUUUACUAAAUUUGAAAGAAAUUGUAUUGAGAAGUAAUCUCUAUGGAGUUAGAGACGCAUCCAUUUGCGUCAAAGGUCCUAGAUACAUAACUGCUCAAGAUAUCAUCUUACCGCCUUCCGUAGAAAUCGUUGAUACGGCACAACCUAUAGCUAACUUGACAGAGCCCAUUGAUUUCUGUAUUGAUUUACAGAUCAAGAGAGAUCGUGGAUAUCAGACAGAACUCAGAAAGAACUAUCAAGAUGGAAGUUAUCCUAUAGAUGUUGUAUCCAUGCCUGUUCGAAAUGUGAAUUAUAGUAUUUUUUCUUGUGGGAAUGGAAAUGAAAAACACGAGAUACUUUUUCUAGAAAUAUGGACUAAUGGAAGUUUAACCCCUAAGGAAGCACUUUAUGAGGCUUCUCGUAAUUUGAUUGAUUUAUUUCUUCCUUUUCUACACGCGGAGGAAGAGGGCGCUAGUUUCGAAGAAAAUAAAAACAGGUUUACUCCACCCCUUUUUACUUUUCAAAAAAGAUUAACUAAUCUAAAGAAAAACAAAAAAGGAAUUCCAUUGAAUUCUAUUUUUAUUGAUCAAUUAGAAUUGACUUCUAGAACGUAUAAUUGUCUAAAAAGGGCCAAUAUACAUACACUAUUGGACCUUUUGAGUAAGACUGAAGAAGAUCUUCUGAGAAUUGACAGUUUUCGUAUGGAAGAUAGAAAACAUAUAUGGGACACUCUAGAGAAGCAUCUCCCAAUUGAUUUACUUAAGAAUAAACUCUCGUUUUAA
rnacentral:rRNA from 1 species